AGACGCACCCUCUCUCUCCGCCCGGGAUGUAAUGUUUCCCUCUUGACUUGUUCACUCGUUAUUGUGUUCUUAUUUCGUUGGAACUGGCAGAGUUGGCGAAUAUUUUAAUUUUAUAGUCGAAAUGACCGCGUUUUUACCGUCAAAUCUUUUGGCAUUAUUUGCUGCUAGACCUCCCAUACCAUAUCUUCCGCCUCUGGAUAAACUAGGUCAUCAGAAAAAGCCUUGGCCGUUACAGUGGAAUUGCGAGUAUCGUUGCUGACUUCGAGGAUCCUGAAGACACACCUGAUCCAACUCGUGGAGAAACUAGAGUUAAAAAAAUAGAAAGAAAGAAGCGAUGAAAGAAUUGGAAAGAACAAAGAGGAUUUGGAG